GGGAAUCUUCGGCAAUGGGCGAAAGCCCGACCGAGCAACGCCGCGUGAAUGAAGAAGGCCUUCGGGUUGUAAAAUUCUGUUAUAAGGGAAGAAAGGUGAUAGGAGGAAAUGACUAUCAAUUGACGGUACCUUAUGAGAAAGCCACGGCUAACUACGUGCCAGCAGCCGCGGUAAUACGUAGGUGGCAAGCGUUGUCCGGAUUUAUUGGGCGUAAAGCGAGCGCAGGCGGUUUCUUAAGUCUGAUGUGAAAGCCCCCGGCUCAACCGGGGAGGGUCAUUGGAAACUGGGAGACUUGAGUGCAGAAGAGGAGAGUGGAACUCCAUGUGUAGCGGUGAAAUGCGUAGAUAUAUGGAAGAACACCAGUGGCGAAAGCGGCUCUCUGGUCUGUAACUGACGCUGAGGUUCGAAAGCGUGGGUAGCA
rnacentral:rRNA from 1 species